CUUUCAGCGGAAAUGCUGGUGCUUUUAUUAUGAAGAACGGUCUUCGUCUCUACCCGGAAAGGCUGACCUCGGUCCUCGUCGCCUCAAACUUAAAGUUGCCGGUCAACAGAAGGUCGCCCAACAAAAGCAGCAGCAGCUGGAGAACAGUCAGUCCGCCUGUUAGCUCCCGGCUAACCGAACCGAAGUGUCCCCGGUUCGCAGGUGGACCGAGGCGCCUUUAGCUCUGUUAGCUCUGUUAGCUGUUAGCAUGCAGUGUGCUAACCUCCUGAAGAAGAGGAGUCUGGAGCCGCAACCGUGGAGCAGAGCGAAGCGGGUAUGUUUGGAGGCGGGGCUUCAGACAGCUGAAUGUCCAAUGGAAACGAUCCACAGUGUCACUGUGACGAAUCAUCAUGAAGAGCAGCAGGUUGGUGUGGUCCACCCCAGGCCUCCUCAGCUCUGCUGUCCCAGAUGUCUCGGAGGAGAAUCAGGUCACAUCAGCCACAUCACGGGACACUGAGCUGAUCAAAGACACUCCCACAGAAGCCGUUCAGACUCCGCCCAGCCCGCAGCGCCUCCUUGCUGCACCCAGGUCUCUGCUGCUUUCACACACGCCCUGAACUCAGGACGUCCCCUGGAGGAACUGUAUGUGAGGACAAAAGUCCAGAUGAGCUGGACUGGAUAUUACACGGACUUUACCCUGUUACAAAGUCCGUGUAAUGUCCGACCAGAGCGGGUCGCAGCCCGGAGGUGCUGCCCAGGCUCCGCCCCCUACCUGUGUCACAUGGACAGUGUGUGAUCAUGUGCUGCAUGUGUGAAAGGAAAACUGCAGACAUUGUCUGGAGGUCCUGUGAGAAAACAGCUGACCCUGUUACCACGCCAACUUAAAAGACCAAUCAGGUGCCUCUUUGUCACGUUUGUCUCUUUAACUCCAGGUGAUUGGUGUUUCAUUCCUGACGAUUAUUUUCUCAACCCCCUCAGUUUCUCCCUGCGAUCUGCCAGACUGACCCUGAAUCAGCCAAACUGAGCAGAGCUCAUCACUUUUCACUCGUAAACCUCAGACGUCUCCGUGUCCUUGAAUGCACCAUCAGGUGGAAUUUGGAGAACCUGUAGGAAAUUCAGCGUAACGCUCCUUUGAGCAUUGUAGCCCCACCCCCCUGCGUCUCCGAUCCAAUCAGACUGUCUUCCUCCUCCUACCUGACGUCUGAUUGGUUCUCGUGAACGGUGUGCAGUGAACUCAUUCGCUUUAUAAACUCAUGUAGUCUUUCAGCUAAUAAGUAAUCAGUAACCAGUGACUCUGACCUCUGACCUCCGUGCUGCCUCUGAUGUCAUCAUUGUCACGUAGUAAAGGGCUCUUACUGCUUUGAGUGCAGAACAAACAGCUAACGAAACAUCAGGGAUCCACAAGAGUGUUUGUUUACAUCAUGUGUUCACUGACAGCCAAUCAGAUCGUCUGAUCUGUCAGGUAUCCACAUCUGUAUCAGCCUCAGUAAAAGGGACAUAAGCCUGUAACCGGAUGCAGAGUUUUAUAUUUUUAACCGUUUUAUUUUUAACCUGACUGAAUGUAGCUUCCUGCAGAGUUCUAUUUUUCAUAAUGCCACUUCCUGCUUUGGGUCUGACCAAUCAGAGGCCAGCAUUUGCAUGGCAGCCCAAUUUCAAAAUAAAACCUUUGACUAAAAACUUGUCUGAGGUCUGUUUCCU